UGAACUGUUAAGACCGACUCAAAUUCACCUUUGUGUUUCUCCUUCUCGUUACUCGAAGAACAUUUCACCCUUUUUUGGGGUUUCUUUUCACAUUCUCCGGUUUUUUCAUUGAGGUUCCCAAAACCACUUUUGACGUAAGUCACCAUCUGCUCAUUCUUUUAUUUCUCAAACUUCUUUUUCGGGUUAUUUUUCAGAUUUCUGUUUCUGCCUAAACUCUAUAUUUUAAAAUCAUCCUUUCACCACCCUACAAUAUUAAUUACUUAUUCCUUUUCAUAUUUCCCGUUACUUAAUUUAAGUCACCCUUUGUUUUUUGUUUUUACCGUAAUGAUUCACCGAUGUGGGUUUUGAUGGUUUUUGCACUUUGGCCGGACUUUCCUUUCAACUCAACCACGUAUUCUUCCAAUUUGACGGUAAAUAUUUGUUUUGUUAGUAGUGUUUAGUAUCAUAACAGUUAAGUUGGUUAUGUUUAGUAUCAUAAUAUUUUAAUUAUUAUUAUUUUUUGACAUGUCUUUUCUCUCUUUGUUUACUAUUCUUAGUCGUGCCCGAUGAAGACAAAUUAUUGUCGAAACAUGUAGCACCGAACCAAUUUAAUAAAAGAAUUUUCAUCGUCA